ACCAUUUCAGAAAACCCUCGCUCGCUCAAAACACUACUAUAUCUCAAGUUCUCUCAUGAACCUUUUAGAAAACCCUCUCUCUCACAUCGAUGAAGCACAUCUCCCUCUCAUCGUCCACCGAACUAGCCCAGAUCUCCAUCUCCGUGGACAUCGAGUUCGACGAGAUCGCCAUCUCCGUCGUGCCGUUCAGUUGACCAAGCUCGUCGCAUUCGCCAUCUCCCUUCCUUGUCGCGACCAUUUUUAAGCCCCCAUGGAUUCCCAUCUUCCAUUUUACGAGCUUUAGAUUAGAUCUUCUUCCUCGUAGACCAGAAAGGUUUUACGUUUGCAGAAAGUCCACGCUGAUGUCAACACUAUCCAUGAACUCAGUUGUAAUGUCAAUUGAUUUCUCUAAGGCAGUCAAUGAAGUCCACCUGAGCUUGAGUGAUCACUCCUCUGCUUAUUCCAAGAAUUCUCAGAAUGUGAACAAGAACCAAUAAAAAAAUUGUGAACAAGAAACAAUUAAUUGACUGGUGCAGAAUGUGGAUUGGAGAGAAAGGCUGGCGCUGCAACAUGUCAAAUCUCUUUU